GACGAACGCUGGCGGCGUGCUUAACACAUGCAAGUCGAGCGAACGGACGCGACGCUUGCGUUUAUGAUGUUAGCGGCGGGCGGGUGAGUAACACGCGGACCCCCGCCCUAUAAUAAUGGGAUAACUUCGGGAAUCCGGCGCUAAUAUCGGCGAAUCUCGUGAAGCGUGUGGUUGAAAAGUGAAAGACGGUUGUGUUGGCACCUGUAGAUGGAUCUGCGGUGUAUGAGCGUGUUGGUGAGGUACCGGCGUACCAAGGCGACGAGGGGUAGUCGGCCUUCGAGGGGGACCGGCGACCCGGGGACUGAGAGACGGACCAGACUGCUACGGGAGGCAGUAGUGGGGAACAUGGCGCAACGGGCGGAAGCCAGACGUAGAGACGCCGCGUGCGUGAAGCCGGGUUUCGGGUUGUAAACAUCUGUCUGCGGAGACGAAGAGAAAGUGACGGUACCUGCUCAAGAAGCACCGGCUAACUACGUG
rnacentral:rRNA from 1 species